CUACGGGGGGCACCAGUGGGGAAUAUUGCACAAUGGAGGAAACUCUGAUGCAGCCAUGCCGCGUGUGUGAAGAAGGCCCGAGGGUUGUAAAGCACUUUCAAUUGGGAGGAAGGUUAUGUAGCUAAUACCUGCAUAAUUUGACGUUACCUUUAGAAGAAGCACCGGCUAACUCUGUGCCAGCAGCCGCGGUAAUACAGAGGGUGCAAGCGUUAUUCGGAAUUACUGGGCGUAAAGCGCGCGUGGGCGGAUUGUUAAGUCAGAUGUGAAAGCCCUGGGCUCAACCUGGGAACGGCAUUUGAUACUGGCAGUCUAGAGUUUAAGAGAGGGAAGGGGAAUUUCUAGUGUAGCAGUGAAAUGCGUAGAUAUUAGAAGGAACAUCAGUGGCGAAGGCGCCUUCCUGGCUUAAAACUGACGCUGAGGUGCGAAAGCGUGGGUAGCGAACGGGAUUAGAUACCCCAGUAGUC
rnacentral:rRNA from 1 species